AACCUCUUAGUCCUUUUGAAGUGAAAUUAAAUAUUAUUUGAUAUCAAACAAAUUCAUAAAUACAACAAAAGAUUACAACAGGUUUUUUGUAUAUGUUCAUCCCGAGUUUUACUGAAUAAUUACAAAUUAGUGUUUAUAAAGAUAAUGUGUUGAAUUAAAGUAAGUCUAUGUAUGUUUUGAAAAUAUCAUAUAGUUUUACUGCUUUUUGUCAUGUGUUUCUUCGUCCACUUCGCUGUGGUUUUUGUAUUUCAUUCAUUUGGGACAUGAUGUUUUCUGUGUAGUAUCUGUGAAAUGGAUAGAUGUUGGUUAAGUGUUGGCUAUAAAUAAAAAGCUAUAUUUUAGUCAUACCUGGAUGUUCUAAUUGGAGGCAUUUUCCUGUUUCACAUGAUUUAGUAGGGGUGAAGGACUCCAUAUUUGUAGUGGUUUGUUGGUCCAUUGUUGUCGAAGGUGUAGUUGGUGGUCUUCUAGUUGAAUUGAUAGUUGGUUGUGGACUUUUUAUAUCAUUGGUUGUGGUGACUAUGAAACGGAUAUUUUUAGUUGAUGGAAGUUUUGUGCAUUGUACAAAAACAUUCUUUGUCAACCCUUUAAAACGUUGCAGUGGUUCCGGUAAAGUCAGUGGUCAAAAUUACACACACUGGAACAAUUCCCACAAUCAUAAUAAACAUGCAAACUUGGUGUCUCUUCUAAAAGUGAACUCUUGCAUGAACGACGGGGGACUAUCGUAUUGGAAGUAGAAGCCAUUUGUCGUCGUUUUGGAGGCAUCACAAGAAGGCAUUUACUGAAAUGGAAAUCCAAAUUUCAUUGACUUGUAACAUACUUUUUAUGUAAUUCAUAUGGAACAUUAGAUUCUAAAAAGGUGUAGUUGAAAGUAACUAUUAUGAUUAGUAACUAACUUAUGGAGUAUAUAUUAAAUAACAUUUGGAAGAGAUUAAUAACAUACUCUAUUAUUGUUUUAACCCAUGGAUUCAUUGAACAUCAAAGAUAAGAAAUAUAUUUGCAACAACAAAAUUAGUCAUUAAUCAACUGAUAAUGGUAUAUAUUCAACUAAAGCUUGUAAAUAGGAUAAAAUUGAAAAAAUGACCAUUCUAUUAAAAUUUAUGCCUAAAGGACCAUUAUUGUAAUUGAGUAUUGAUUUAGGACCAAAUUAGUAAACUUAUGUACACAAAACAUAUUCAGUGAAAGGGUUAAAGACAACUUACCAAAUUUCUAAAGAUCCAAGGUAGAAUUGAAUAUUAGAUUCCUUAUCACAAAAUGUUUAUAAUUUUUAUAUUAACAUAAAUUCAUGAGAAACCAAAGGGUGUUAAAAUGUCUAACUUGCAGAGGCAAUGAAGAAAGAGAGAAAAAUUGAAAUUGAAUAUGGACAGAAAUCAAUAUCAAAUACAAAGGAUAGACAACAUACCUAGAAAUUCAAAUUGUAAUUGAGUGUAGUCGGUUGAAGGCGGAUACAAAGCAGAACCGUUUGUUGGCGACAAAAACGUCAAACCUAGAAUGAAAACUUAAACGUAUUGAGUUGGAAAUGAAGAAAUUUAUAUGAAAAUGGAACAGAAAAUCAAUAUGAUAUAAUUGCGAUAUAGUAUAGACGAGGUAGGCGUCUAGGAGUAUGACUAAAGAAGUAUUUCAAAAAUCAGUAAUAUUUAAAGAGAAAAUUUUAAAUUGACAUACCUUAUUAAUUGGAAUUGUUGGAUUCCUAGUUGUAAGUGCUCGAAGAUAAAGACGGUGGAAACGUCAAACACAGAUUUUGUAAUCAAAGAAAGAACGAAUUAAUAUGAUGGUGUUGGGAAUUUGCACAUAUUCACAAAGAUUAGAGAAAGUUGUUAUGUAUUGAAAGCAAGAAAGAGUUCACAAUUGACAUACCUUAUGAGUCGUAAUUGUUUGAGUCCAAAUUCUAAGUGCUUGGAGAAAAAGAUGGUGGUUGAGAGGCUCUGAAACGAAGUAGGACUAAUUAAUUUUAAACUAAAACAUGAAUAAAGUUCAAAUUUAGCACUAACUUUAUGAUGAACUCAACUAAAAACAUAGAAAGAAAAAUGAUACAUUUUACAAAUUAUAAAAAUAUAAACAAAAACAAUAGAAGGAACAAACACAAAAAGACGACACAAAAAAAGAUGUAAACAAAAAAUCAAAAUCAAAUAAAAACAUUAUAUGACCUACCGAAAUUCAAAAAUACAACAAAGAGCACAUGCUGUUUGUGGUGGUAAUUGAGCACCGACGGUCAAACCCACAAAGUCGAAGACAUCGCUCAAAAACACGGAAGGAUUAGAAGGAAUAGCAAUUGAAUUGAAAAUCACAAUAUAAUUGAUACAUUAUACGACAUACCAUAAUUCGUCAUAGAAACAAAUAGAAAUUCGUAGCCUUCAACAUACCAGAAUUUGUCACAGCAAUAGAUAGAUAUUCCUAGUCUCCUUAUAUCAUUAAUGAAAAUCCUGAAAUAAGAUUUCAGAAUUCCAGUUACCAAAUAUUAGAGUAAACAUAAAAAGUUAAAGGGGUUAUUUUGUCAUUAUUAAAGUGUUUUUAACACAUUUGACUAAUAUACAAAGAAUAAGUACUCAAUUAGAAAAUUAUUCUUCAUGAUGCAAGAAAUAUUAUGUUUUUCUUUUAUUCAACUUUUGUCGCUAACAUACAACACAAUACAAAAAAAAAAUGGUUCACUAUGGGAUUUCCAGGGUAUUUGUUGACUCACCUUCUUUUAUAAUGUCAAAAUUAGCAUUCUUUAUGAUAAAUGACCAAUGAUUCCAUCUACUAUUGUAAAAGCUUUAGUCUUUUUGAUAAAUAACCAAUAAUAUAUGGGUGGUGAGUCCUAGAUUAUACAAAUUCUUAUUUAGGGUGCAUUCUUUUGAACGCUUUUGGAAGUUUCUUCAGAUAACCGUAUCAGGGUUUUUUUUUUCAGUUUAUGGUUGUUUUACAACUUACUUUAGUUGUCAUUUGACCUUUUUGCCCCUGUGAGGCUGUGGCUUACCUGGUUUUUGUUCCAAUCUUGAUUGCAGUAUACACCUGCUGUUGAUACACUUAGAUGCAAGCCAAGUUAACUACACCAGAGAUUAAGAUAAUGACUAUUUGUAUAGAAAUUUUACUUUGUGGUGAAAAGAGUCGUUUUGUAUUUUUUUUUUUGGAAAUUGGCCAUUAACUGUUACUGUGUGUGGGUGUUUCGGGCUAAGAUAUUGAUUUAUCUGUUUGUGUAUUUUAUCCCUUCUUUCAUAGUUCUUUUUGUUGAAAAGAGUCGUUUUUUUGUUUAUAUGCAAUCAUUUUUUUUCUUUAACAUAUAGUAAUAAAUACAAUUAGUUAAACACGUUAAGCAUGCCUUUAGUCGUAUUAUGUAUCCAAUUGUAUCGAAUCAAAUCAUCCUAAUAUUACAUUAAACGCUUUUGGUCUUAAAUGAGUCAGAGGAAACUUUUGUUUAUACUUGAAUGAGUGAAUUAUUUGAGACUAAAAUCUGAUGGAAUGGCGUUUUAACAUUGAAAAGAAUUUGCUCUUCUUUUCUUCACAUGAAUUGAUGAUCAACAGCAUUUGUAUGAGAGUGUUUUGAAAUGAGAGCAUAGAUUCUUGUCAUUACAAUUUGUAAAACCUCUCUUAAUCAUUACAUAAAUAAUUUGAAAUAGCUUCGAGUUAUUGACUCUUUGUUGGAUUCACAACUUUAGGGUUAGUUGGGGUGACAAAUUAUGUUCAUUCUUACGAUGUUCUGACCAGGAAAUGGACCAGGUAGUUCUAAUUCGUUCUUAUAUUUGACUUAACUUUUCUAGAAGUCAAUGCUAAUGCUUUUUUUUUCAGAAUUCGACAAGCUGGAGAACCACCUUCACCCAGGGUUGCUCAUGCAGCUGCUGUUGUUGGAACAAUGGUUGUAUUUCAGGUAACCAUAAUUAUGAACUAAAGUGAAAAAAGGAGAUCUUUUAGCCAUUUAUCUGAUUUUUGGUUUUUGAUAAACCGAUUGUGCAUGAUUAGGGCGGCAUUGGUUGAUAAAAUAAUAAAUAUUAAGAUUCUUUCUCCAUUUCGAGGAGGUGUCUCGCAUGUGUGGACUUCCCUUUAACUUUUACUUAAUUAAGUAAUUAAGCUAUAUAGACUAUUACUAAGUUGAUAACAUCUAGGUUUUGGAACAAUUAUAUAUAUAAAAGCCUUUAUCGUUCUAUUCCUCAUGUCCUUGAUCCAUGAUCUUUGUUUGUUUUCUAAACAACUAUUUCUAUAACUUAACUUUUACAAUACUGUUAAAUUGAACUAAUAAAUUAACAAAAUAGAAGGUUAUAUAAUAAUGCAACUUUUGACAUUGUUGUUGUUUUUAUAUGUAGGAUCCUAAACAUGGACACUGGUGGCUACAAUUUGGAUCAGGGGUGCUAAUAGGAUAUUGGCCAUCUUUUUUUAUUCAGUCAUCUACAAAAAGAAGCAAGUAUGAUACAAUUUGGAGGGGAGAUAGUGAACACAAGAUCAGGGGGUAUCACACAUCAACUCAAAUUGGAAGUGGCCAUUUUGCAGAUGAAGGUUUUGGAAAAGCUUCAUACUUUAGGAAUUUACAGGUUGUUGAUUGGGACAACAGUUUGCUUCCUUUAACAAAUCUCCAUGUAUUAACUGAUAAUCCAAAUUGUUACAAUAUAAAAGCCGGAAAAAAUAAUGUUUGGGCGAAUUGUAUUUAUGAUGGAGGUCCAGGAAGGAAAGGAGGUUGUCAAUAGAGAAAAUUGCAUAGUAGUAACAAUAUUUUUAUUUACAUUAUUAAUUCUUUCCCUCUAGAGGAUUUUUGGAAUUUUUUGUCUAAAAAAGAUCCCUUUUUAAGUUUUAUUUGUAGUAGGUUGCCAUAAUUAAGCCAUGUUAAUGAGGGCUCUUGUAUAUUAGCGUUAGGGGUAGUAACUGAUUUUAUAAUGUAUUAUGGUUUGUAUUUCGUAAUGUGGUGAUUUGAUUUUUCAUUAUAACAGCAAACAAUAACCUAACAACAAAAUAAAUAGCCUACCUUGACAACAUAUAUAGGUGGAACUUUUGCACUUUAUUCUUCAAUAUGCGGACAUGCUAAAGUAAGCCUUUUACCAAAUCAACAAACUGCUGAUGAAUCACUGUGUACAUAUAAAUUCAAGCAAUCUAAUGAUGGGAAAUAUUGUCUAGAGGGUUUCGUAACUUUAAUUUCACAGAGUAGGAAAGACAAUCAAAAUCAUAUGACGGAGAACAUACCAAGAAUUGAAAUUGCAAUUGAGUGUAGAUUAUUGGAGGCGGCAACAGAAGGCGUCGUCGGAGAUGUCAAACCCAUAUUUGAAAUCCUAAUUUAUUGAUAGAGAAGCCGUAGGAGAUCUCAAAUCCACACAGUCGGAAAACAGAAAAAGAAGAGGAGUCUGAAGAUUUUGGAGAAACGUAUAAAAACGAUGAUGGAGGAAUAUUCUCUAGACGAUUUCAUAACUUCAAUUUCACAGAGUCGGAAUAUAAGAAAAAAGCAAAUUCGAGAUUGAAACAAAAUCAAUAUCGAAUAGAACAAAACAUACCCAGACAUCAAAUUUCAAUUGAUUGUGGAUGGUUGGAGGCAGCAACAACCGUUUUUUGGCAAGAAAUUGAAACUUAGACAGAAAAUCAAAAUCGAAUAGAAGAAAACAUACCCAGACUUCAAAUUUCAACUGAUUGUAGAUGGUUGGAGGCAGCAACAACCGUUUUUUGGCAAGAGAAGUUGAAAUUCUAAGUUCUUGAUUGAUAAGGUGUAUGAGAUGUCAAACCCAUAAUUCAAAUUCGGAAUUGUUGAUUGAGAAGCGUAUUCAGAAUUCUUGAUUGAGAAGCGUAUGAGAUGUCAAGAAGAGAAGUCUGAAGAAAUGGUAGAAACUUAUGGAAGCGAUCAUGGGGGUAAAAUUUUAAAAGUGUUGAUUGUUAUGGAGAAUUUGGAGAAACCUAAUGUGGCGAAACUCUAAAC
rnacentral:lncRNA from 1 species